rnacentral:tRNA from 1 species
AUUUAAAUAGCUUAUAAUAGAGUAUAAUAUUGAAGAUAUUAAGGAGAUAAAAUUAUCUUUAAAUA